rnacentral:lncRNA from 1 species
AAAGCAAAAGAAAGGUGGUGGUUAAUCAACUACAGAAACUGGAGGACAAUGUGAGAGAAGUCGACCAGAAACUCUUUGACUUCAUGAUUGAGACGUAUGAUGCACAACAUCAAACUAUAAUGCUACUGGGCCAAAAGUUUGAAUAACUCACAAAGAUGCUGUGAGGUUAGCAAGGCUGGGUGAGUCGUCACUAAAUAUAAGUUAUUCUUCCACUACACCGACUUAGGAUUGGGUUUACUCCCAACCCAAAGCAACAAGAUGCUAGGAGUAGUUGCAUGCAAAACCUAUAGAAUAACCCGUUAGGAGAUCCU